UUGAACGCUGGCGGCAUGCCUUACACAUGCAAGUCGAACGGUAACAGGUCUUCGGAUGCUGACGAGUGGCGAACGGGUGAGUAAUACAUCGGAACGUGCCUAGUAGUGGGGGAUAACUACUCGAAAGAGUAGCUAAUACCGCAUGAGAUCUACGGAUGAAAGCAGGGGACCUUCGGGCCUUGUGCUACUAGAGCGGCCGAUGGCAGAUUAGGUAGUUGGUGGGAUAAAAGCUUACCAAGCCGACGAUCUGUAGCUGGUCUGAGGGGACGACCGGCCGCACUGGGACUGAGACACGGCCCAGACUCCUACGGGAGGCAGCAGUGGGGAAUUUUGGACAAUGGGCGAAAGCCUGAUCCAGCAAUGCCGCGGGCAGGAUGAAGGCCUUCGGGUUGUAAACUGCUUUUGUACGGAACGAAAAAGCUCCUUCUAAUACAGGGGGCCCAUGACGGUGCCGUAAGAAUAAGCACCGGCUAACUACGUGCCAGCAGCCGCCGUAAUAC
rnacentral:rRNA from 1 species